CAAUGGAAUAGAAUUUAAGACCCAGAAAUGAAAGCAUAAACUUAUGGGUACUUGAUCUUUAACAAAGAAGUCAAACAUACACAAUGGCAAAAAUAAAGUAUCUUCAACAAAUGACGAUGAUCUGUCUGUUGAGAUGGAGAAAAAUUAAAAUAAGCACAUAUUUAUCACCCUGCACAAAGUUCAAGUCCAAAUGGAUCAAAGACCUAAACAUGAAACCAGAUACACUGACUCCAAUAGAAGAAAAACUGGGAAAGAUCAUAGAACUCAAUGGCACAGAGGGAAAUUUCCUAAACAGAGCUCCAAUGGCUCAUGCUCUAAGAUCAAGAAUUAAUAAAUGGGACCACAUGAAACUGGAAACUUUCUGUAAGGCAAAAGACAUAGCCAAUAGGACAAAUCAGUGACCUACAGAUUGGGGAAAAAUCUUCACUAACCCUACAUCUGAUAGAGAACUAAUAUCCAAAAUAAAUAAAGAACUCAAGAAGCUAACCACCAAAAAACCCAAAAAAUACUAUCAAAAAAUGGGAUAUAGAACUAAACUGAGAAUUCACAACAUAGGAAUAUCAACUGGCUGAGAAACACCUAAAGAAAUGUUCAAAUCCCAUCGUGAUCAGAGAAAUGCAAAUUAAAACGAUCCUGAGAUUCCACGUUAUACUAGUGAUUAUGGAUAAGAUAAAAAUCUCAGCAGGCAGCACAUGUUGGCAAGAAUGUGGAGAAAGAGGAACAUUCCUCCAUUGCUGGUGGUAUUCUAAACUGACAAAACCAUUCUGGAAAUCAAUAUGGAGGUUCCUCAGAAAAUUGGAAGUACAUCUACCUGAACCAUCAAUUCAACUCUUGGGAAUAUACCCAAAAGAUGCCCCACCAUGCCACAGGGGCACAUGUUCCACUAUGUUAUUAGCAGCAUUGUUGGAGAUAGCCAGAAGCUGGAAACAACCCAGAUGUCUCACAAGGGAAGAAUGUAUACAAAAGGAAUGUGGUUCAUUUACACAAUAGAAUACUACUCAGCUACUAAGAACAAGGAUAUCCUGAAUUUUCAGUCAAAUGGAGGAACCUAGAAAAUAUCAUUCUGAGUGAGGUAACUCAGACCCAAAAGACAAGCAUAAUAUGUGUUCACAUACGUCACAAAUGUCAACAAGUUGAAGAACCCAAGUGAGGAUGACUUAGUCCCAUGUGGAAGGAAGAAGAAAGCAACCACAAGUGGUGAGAGAGGGUGGUACCUUAGAGAGAAAGAGGAUGAGAGGAAGAGGGUAACAUGAUCUGGCAUUAGGUGGGGGAAAGAUACUGAAGCCCUGAGGGUCAGCAGAAAAAUUAGAAACAGACAACCUAGGGAGGUUGAAGGUCACUCCAUAAUGUACCAGAGACUUGUGAGGUGAGAGGCUCUCAGGACUGAAAGGGAGCAACCUUAGAUGAAAUGUCCUAUAAUAGGGAGAGGGAACUUGUAGAGAGCCCACCUCCAUCAGAAAGAUAGGGCACCAAAUGUGGGAUCGGUUGCCAUCCCACUGUCAAAACUUUGACCCAUAAUUGUUCCUGUCUGAAAGAACUGCAGCAAUAGAAGUAGAGCGAAGCCUGAUGAAAAUAAUGUCCACUGACAGGCCCAAUUUGGGGUCCAGCUCAAGGAGAGGCCCCAAGACCUGACACUAUUAUUGUGGCUAUGGAGCACUCACAAAAAUGGACCUAUUAUGACUGACCUCCAAAGGACACAACAAGCAGCUGAAAGAGUCAUAUGCAGAUAUUUGCACCCCACCAAAGGACAGAAGCUGCUGACCCAUGUGGUUCAAAUAGGGGAAAGCUGGAAGAAGCUGAGGAGGAAGGCAACACCAUAGAAGGAUCAUUAGUCUUAAUUAACCUGGACCCCUGAGAUCUCUCAGACACUGGAACACCAACCUGGAUGCAUCUGCCAGCUGAUUUGAGGCCCCCCAACACAUAUACAGCAGAAGACUGUUGGGUCUGGGUUUAGUCAGAGAAGAUGCAGCUAGCUCUCAAGAGACUGUAGGCCCCAGGGAGUUUAGAGGUCUGGUGGGAAGGAGGAUAGGAGGUGGAUAUGUCCUCAUGGAGACAGUGAGUGGGUAGGAGCUAUGGGAUAUGGAACUGUCAGAGGGUGAACCAGGAGGGGAAUAAAAUCUGGAGUUUAAAAUUA
ensembl:lincRNA Gm28187 predicted gene 28187